rnacentral:misc_RNA from 1 species
CACUCCUAGAGGUGAGGGGCAGCGGGCCAAAAAAGGAUAGCGUGUCUGACUUGAACGACGCUCGUCCGUGAUUCGCUCUUCCGGUGCCCCUUUCGGACUCCUCACAAUCGUUCAUUCUUUUUCUAUUUCGAACGAAUGGGGGCUUCCUGGUUACGGGGGGACACCCUCCGUGUGUGCGGCAUUUCAGGGUCCAGCACCUCCACUCGGCGUGGGAAGGAGCCAGGCAGUCCCCCUCCCCCUAUCCCCUGAUGAAUGCUGAACCAACUCUGAUAGUGGUAGAGUCAGGUGCCUACGAUGUGAGGAGGUGAGACCGAUGCAUCGCUACUGACGAUGUCGGUUGCCAGGUCACGGAUGGUGUGGCGUCGGAGCGGCCUGCAGCUGUGAGCACGCUUGUGCCACCCAUAUGGCGGGUGAAGCGUCCGUGCGACCCGAGCAUAUGCUACCCACCCACCGGGAGCCCUCGCUGUCUACUGGUUUGGGGUCCCUGAGCCAGCCUGAGGAGGAUUGCACCGCGUGGUGACCGGCAAUGAUGGGGGAGGCUGCGCGGCGACCUGCGAGGCGGGUGGGCGGGUGGAGUUUGGGCCAGAGGCCGUGCUCGGAGGCCUGGGUCGGCGGAUGGCUGUACCGCGUGUCUGCCGCUGCUUCGCAAGACGCGACGCGAGCCUGUGACAGGACCGUGGGGUAGAGCUGAAGUGAGCGGGUGCUGCACGGCAAAGAAUG